UACGUAGGGUGCAAGCGUUAAUCGGAAUUACUGGGCGUAAAGCGUGCGCAGGCGGUUUUGUAAGCCAGAUGUGAAAUCCCCGGGCUUAACCUGGGAAUGGCAUUUGGGACUGCAAGGCUGGAGUAUGGCAGAGGGGACUAGAAUUCCUGGUGUAGCAGUGAAAUGCGUAGAUAUCAGGAGGAAUACCGAUGGCGAAGGCAGGUCCCUGGGCCAAUACUGACGCUCAUGCACGAAAGCGUGGGGAGCAAACAGG
rnacentral:rRNA from 1 species